rnacentral:rRNA from 1 species
AGAGCGAACGCUGGCGGCAGGCCUAAUACAUGCAAGUCGAACGGACCCUUCGGGGUUAGUGGCGGACGGGUGAGUAACACGUGGGAACGUGCCCUUUGGUUCGGAACAACUCAGGGAAACUUGAGCUAAUACCGAAUGUGCCCUUCGGGGGAAAGAUUUAUCGCCAUUGGAGCGGCCCGCGUCUGAUUAGCUAGUUGGUGAGGUAAAGGCUCACCAAGGCGACGAUCAGUAGCUGGUCUGAGAGGAUGAUCAGCCACACUGGGACUGAGACACGGCCCAGACUCCUACGGGAGGCAGCAGUAGGGAAUCUUGCGCAAUGGGCGAAAGCCUGACGCAGCCAUGCCGCGUGAAUGAUGAAGGUCUUAGGAUUGUAAAAUUCUUUCAGCGGGACGAUAAUGACGGUACCGCAGAAGAACGCCCCGGCUAACUUCGUGCCAGCAGCCGC